AGUGGAACUAAAUAUUGAACAAGAGUCAAAUUCUAUUGGCCGAAAAUAUCAUCAUCCCGUGCAAUAGACAGUUGAGAUUACACAUAUAUAUUGAGUGUCUGAUGCAAGUCUUCCAGUUAUAAUUAAUUUAUCGCAAGCGUAACAACUACAUCACAACCAUGCCAUCCGAUAGAUUUUAUACAAAAUUGGCUCAACGCGAAUCCGGAAGUGACCCGACAUGUGUGAAUGAAUACGGUUUCAUGGGUCUAUAUCAAAUGGGUCAGCCAGCGUUACAAGACGUUGGCUACAUAAAUAUUCGUGGCGAAUGGACUGGAAAGGAUGGUAUUUGGUCUCUUGACGAUUUUCUCAAUAAACCAAAUAUCCAAACUCGUGCUAUUCGUGCGUAUCACGAUAUUGUUUGGAAUCGUUAUCUACCAGAGUAUGUGAGGCAGAGUGUAGGGAGAGUUAUAAACGGCGUCAAAUUGACUAUGAGUGGAUUAAUUGCUGGCGCACAUCUGGUUGGUCAUAAACGAUUAGCUGAGUAUGUUAGAACUAAUGGCCAAGAGGAUGCCUGUGAUGAGAUCGGUACACGAUGUAGUGAAUAUGUUCUUCAGUUCGGAGGAUAUUAGUUGCAAUGCAUCACUACAGUAACAUUAAGAGGAUUCAUUUGUUUUCCAUUAACCAUACAUUUACCAAUAUUGUUGUGUCGAUGAAUAAAUAAACUCUCGAAUACUAUG